AGUGAACGCUGGCGGUAGGCCUAACACAUGCAAGUCGAACGGCAGCACAGUAAGAGCUUGCUCUUACGGGUGGCGAGUUGCGUACGGGUGAGGAAUACAUCGGAAUCUACUUUUUCGUGGGGGAUAACGUAGGGAAACUUACGCUAAUACCGCAUACGACCUACGGGUGAAAGCAGGGGAUUUUCGGACCUUGCGCGAUUGAAUGAGCCGAUGUCGGAUUAGCUAGUUGGCGGGGUAAAGGCCCACCAAGGCGACGAUCCGUAGCUGGUCUGAGAGGAUGAUCAGCCACACUGGAACUGAGACACGGUCCAGACUCCUACGGGAGGCAGCAGUGGGGAAUAUUGGACAAUGGGCGCAAGCCUGAUCCAGCCAUACCGCGUGGGUGAAGAAGGCCUUCGGGUUGUAAAGCCCUUUUGUUGGGAAAGAAAAGCAGCAGGUUAAUACCCCGCUGUUCUGACGGUACCCAAAGAAUAAGCACCGGCUAACUUCGUG
rnacentral:rRNA from 1 species